rnacentral:sRNA from 1 species
GCUGGGCAUGGUGGCACAUGCCUGUAAUCCCAGCAGCUUGGGAGGCUGAGAUGGGAGGAUCACCAACUUAGCAAGGCCCUAAGCAAUUUAGUGAGAUUCUGUCUCAA